AACGAACGCUGGCGGCAGGCUUAACACAUGCAAGUCGAGCGCAUCCUUCGGGGUGAGCGGCGGACGGGUGAGUAACGCGUGGGAACGUGCCCUCUUCUACGGAAUAGCCUCGGGAAACUGAGAGUAAUGCCGUAUACGCCCGCAAGGGGAAAGAUUUAUCGGAGGAGGAUCGGCCCGCGUUGGAUUAGGUAGUUGGUGGGGUAACGGCCUACCAAGCCGACGAUCCAUAGCUGGUUUGAGAGGAUGAUCAGCCACACUGGGACUGAGACACGGCCCAGACUCCUACGGGAGGCAGCAGUGGGGAAUCUUGGACAAUGGGGGCAACCCUGAUCCAGCCAUGCCGCGUGAUCGAUGAAGGCCUUAGGGUUGUAAAGAUCUUUCAGCUGUGAAGAUAAUGACGGUACCAGCAGAAGAAGCCCGGCUAACUCCGUG
rnacentral:rRNA from 1 species